rnacentral:sRNA from 1 species
AUUGCGGGCGAGAGGCUCUCGGAGCGCUUCCAAUACGCGCUCAGGUUCGAGCCGAACGGAUCGGUCGUCAGCCCCGACCCGGACGCACCUCCCGGUCUCCGGGGCGGUGGUU